UACGGAGGGAGCUAGCGUUGUUCGGAAUUACUGGGCGUAAAGCGCGCGUAGGCGGCUUUGUAAGUUAGAGGUGAAAGCCCGGAGCUCAACUCCGGAACUGCCUUUAAGACUGCAUCGCUUGAAUCGUGGAGAGGUUAGUGGAAUUCCGAGUGUAGAGGUGAAAUUCGUAGAUAUUCGGAAGAACACCAGUGGCGAAGGCGGCUCACUGGACCGGCAUUGACGCUGAGGUGCGAAAGCGUGGGGAGCAAACAGG
rnacentral:rRNA from 1 species